GGAAGAGGCCGGACGGUAGGCACACGGUGCUGAACUUUGAGAGCGAGCUAGAGAAACCGUGUAGCUGUCUCUUUUGAUACCUCAUCUUGAUUGCAGCCAAUCCAGAAAAGCCUAACCCCAGAACAUUCUCCAGAGAGGAUCUUAAAGUGUUCCCAGGACAAAAAUACAACUCUCACAAGCCCACUAAAAUAAAAUAAAAAAAGACUUGGUGUGAUGGCUGACA